UGGGAUUUGAUCUCAGCUGGCCACCGUGCUGAUGACAUCUUUCAACCUGCUGGGCUAGCAGGAUAUUGAGAAUUCCAGGAGAAACGAGGUGCCGGGGAGGUGUCAUGGUGCCCCAGACCUCUGUGUCAAAAGAGAACCCCCAGAGCAAGAAACAGGAAACAUCGAGUGCAG